GUGUCAGCCGCCGCGGUAAUACGUAGGUGGCAAGCGUUAUCCGGAAUUAUUGGGCGUAAAGCGCGCGUAGGCGGUUUUUUAAGUCUGACGUGAAAGCCCACGGCUCAACCGUGGAGGGUCAUUGGAAACUGGGAAACUUGAGUGCAGAAGAGGAAAGUGGAAUUCCAUGUGUAGCGGUGAAAUGCGCAGAGAUAUGGAGGAACACCAGUGGCGAAGGCGACUUUCUGGUCUGCAACUGACGCUGAUGUGCGAAGGCGUGGGGAUCAAACAGGAUUAGAAACCCCCGUAGUCC
rnacentral:rRNA from 1 species